UUUACGCUCGGGGACGGCCGGUAGCUCGGCGAUUCCUCGCUUGGCGCACCAUUGAAAACCGGCGGUCAUCCAGCAGUGUACGCUGCCAGCGUAUUUUUUAUUGCCAGAGGUAGCAAACAGCAGUGCCACAACAAACAGUGGAGUGCUGACCAUGCAGUCCGGAAGCUGGCUGAGGCAAGUAUGCUAUAGGAGGUGCUUAUUCAGGCAGAAGAAAUAAGCAUCUGUAGCCAACGUAAAGGAAGCAUCUUCAAAAGGCAGUGCUACAAGGAUGUGAGCAGCAGUUUCCCUUCAAUGAACGGGUCAAACUCAUGGAAGCCACGUGCCUGCUGCUUCUGGCCUACACAAACAUGCAGCCACCAUAGUAAAGUUCUUGCAAAGACAUUCUACACGAACUUGCCCAAAGGCGGAAGGAAGGCACGCACAGAUGGACGAACAGAAAUCAUGGGGCUGCCGUAGAAGCUGUGAAUGAGCAUUAACCUACGUACAGAAAGGAGCGAAGUGGAACUGUCCAUGGGCCGUGCACACAGUUUCAUAAGCAGGCUUGCAACACUUUUGACAAAUAUGUUCCUGAAUACAUCUGCC